rnacentral:rRNA from 1 species
UACGUAGGUGGCAAGCGUUGUCCGGAUUUACUGGGCGUAAAGAGCGCGCAGGCGGUCGGCCAAGUCGAGUGUGAAACGCCCCCGGCUCAACUGGGGAGGGUCAUUCGAUUGACUGGUCGACUCGAAGGCAGGAGAGGGAAGCGGAAUUCCCGGUGUGAGAGGUGGAAAUUCAUGAGAUAUGGGAGGAACACCGGUGGCGAAGGCGGCGAUCUGGGUCGAUACGUGACGCUGAGGUGGCGAAAAGCGUGGGGAGCAACAGGG